rnacentral:lncRNA from 1 species
AUGUAGCACAGUGGUAAAGUAUCUCUGGAUUUAAUUCCCAGUAUUGCCAAACACACACACACACACAAUGGAUACUGCUUUAUACCUUCAAGAAUAGCUAAAAUUAAGAGAAUGACAAUAUCAAAUUUUACGAGGAAUGUAGAAGGUUUGCAACUCUCAGACACUGCUAGUGGGAGUGUAAAGUGAGAUAACCACUUUGCAGAUGUCACUCUGCCCUUGUCUGAAUGUUCAUGUCCUCCAAACUUAAUGUGUUGAAACCCUAACUCCCAAGGUAAUAGUAUCAGGAUGUGAGGCCAGUGGAGGUGAUCCCAUCCUAGGGCAGAGCCCCCCAUAAAUAGGAUUACAGCCCUUAGAAGAGGAGCCUAAGACCCCUAGCCUUUCCCAGCCCUUACGCAUCCUGCGUCUACAGGUGUCUUGAUAUUGGACUUCGAGCCAAAGGAACUGAGAAGUUUCCCAUUGUCUAUAAGCCACACACCUUAGAGCACUUUGUUACAGUCCCUAGCCCCCCACCCAAGGAACCAAGACCACCUCCCUGUGGCUCAACAGUGCAGCCCUAGGAACUUACUCAGGAGUGAAAAUGGAAAUUAACAGAGGGUCAUUUGAAAAUGUCCAUAGUGAAGUUAUUCUAAUAGCCUCAAAACUGGGAACACCCCAAAUGUCAUCCAUGGGUAGACAGAUUCGAAGUUGUCUUGUUAGUGUAGGACCGCAAGGUAGUGCAGGCAUAGGCAGAGCUUAUGGUGGUGAGCCUCAGGACAGCAGUUGGCCCCAGUGGGGUGCUGACUGGAGCCUUGGGCCACUUGUUA